ACGAGGAGCGCAGGAUCGUAAGGAAGCCACACGAACGAUCCAGAUGUAGGGUUUCAGCAGCCACCGGUUCUCGGCCCAAUGUCUAGCACGUGAUAGACACUCAGCGUGGUGCCUGGCACACAACCAAAGUGCAGCCAAAGUGGGAGAUUUUAUUUCUCCUGCUCCCCCCAACUGCAGGGUGAAAAAUGACUCCUUGUAGGAGAAGUACCUGCUGGCUCACCUGUGCUUGCCAAGAUAAAGCCAAAGGGAGGACAGCAGGCCAUUUCUAGCAUAUGAGAUGACAUCCCUGUCAGAAUCCAGGUAAAGCAACGGGUCUUAUCUAGGUAUGAUCUCCUUGACAGAGGAAACCGGGGCUUUAGAACCGGACAAUAACUCAAGCUUAAUCAACACCUGACUUGGAUGUGAUACCUUUUUUGGGGUAAGUGCUCAAAGAGGGUUCGCAAACUAGCAGAUGGCCCCCAGUGGGUGUGACUUGAAAGGGAAGCUGAUUAAAAGCUCCACCAGUUGGGCAAUAUCUGGAGUAGCCCGUCCUUGCUUAAUUGACUCUGUUAUCCCUUGUGUGUCACAAUGAUCCCUGUCUUAUGAACCCUGAACUUAUGAACAUAGAAGUUUCAGUCACCCAGACCCUUAAAGACUUUUUUCGCCUUGUAUUGCUAUUUCUACUUCUUCAGCACAAGUUCAUACACAGUGAAUGGUCGGUUCAAAAUAAUAGCGGCCCUAUUUAUAGUGGCAAGAAACUGGAAACCGAGUGGACGCCCGUGGGUUGGAGAACGGUCGAAUAAGCUAUGGAAUAUUAUUGUUCUGUGAGAAACGACGGGCGGGAGGAUUUCAGAGAGGCCUGGAAAGACUCACAGGAACUGAUGCUGAGGGAAGUGAGUAGAACCAGGAGAUCACUGUAUACGGCAAUGAGAUUGUGAGAUGAUCAGUUCUAGUGGACGUGGCUCUCUUCCACAAUAAAGCGAUUCGGGACCGUUGUGAUGGAGAGAGCCAUGUGCCCCCCAGAGAGAGGGGCUUGUGAUUGUGAUCGUGGGGACUGAGUGCGGAUCCCAACCGAAUAUUGUCACUUUUGUAUUGUUCUGGAUGUCGUCAUUUUCUUUCUCAUUGUUUCCCUUUUGAUAUGAUUUUUCUCGUGCAGUGUGAUAAAUGUGGAAAUCUAUAUAAAAGAA